AACUUUCGACAACGGAUCACUUGGCUCUCGCAUCGAUGAAGAACGCAGCGAAAUGCGAUAAGUAAUGUGAAUUGCAGAAUUCAGUGAAUCAUCGAAUCCUUGAACGCACCUUGCGCUCCUUGGUUUUUCGAGGGGCAUGCCUUGUUUAGGUGCAUUUAAAUCUUAAACUUCCGGCUUUUACGAGCUUCGUUAGGCUUGGAUGUGGGGGUUGCGGGCUUCAUCAAUGAGGUCGGCUCUCCUUAAAUGCAUUAGCGGAACUUUUGUGGACCCUCUAUUGGUGUGAUAAUUAUCUACGCCGUGGAUGUGAAGCAGCUUUAUGAAAUUUUGCUCAUAACCGUCCAUUGACUUGGACAAUUUUGACAAUUUGACCUCAAAUCAGGUAGGACUACCCGCUGAACUUAAGCAUAUCAAUAAGCGGAGGCU
rnacentral:misc_RNA from 1 species